rnacentral:tRNA from 1 species
GGUGGCUCAGUGGUACAGCGCUUGUCUUGCAUGCAUGAGGCCCUGGGUUCAAUUCCUCAGCACCA